GUACCAGACUCCUACGGGAGGCAGCAGUGAGGAAUAUUGGUCAAUGGGCUUACGCCUGAACCAGCCAAGUCGCGUGAGGGAAGACUGCCCUAUGGGUUGUAAACCUCUUUUGUCAGGGAGCAAUUGGCGCUACGUGUAGCGUUAUCGAGAGUACCUGAAGAAAAAGCAUCGGCUAACUCCGUGCCAGCAGCCGCGGUAAUACGGAGGAUGCGAGCGUUAUCCGGAUUUAUUGGGUUUAAAGGGUGCGUAGGCGGAAUGCCAAGUCAGCGGUAAAAUCGCGGGGCUAAACCUCGCUCCGCCGUUGAAACUUGCGUUCUUGAGUGGGCGAGAAGUAUGCGGAAUGCGUGGUGUAGCGGUGAAAUGCAUAGAUAUCACGCAGAACUCCGAUUGCGAAGGCAGCAUACCGGCGCCCAACUGACGCUGAAGCACGAAAGCGUGGGUAUCGAACAGGAUUAGAUACCCGCGUAA
rnacentral:rRNA from 1 species